GUACAAAUGGUGAAGGUAUGAAUCUGUUUGUAAAAUUUGUAAGUUAAUUACUAGGGCGACAAUCUAACUCGUUGUUCGCGAGGCAGCUCGUGUUCGGCUCGUUAAUAAACAAGUCAAACACGAGUUGAAUUUUUCAGUUUGAUAUUUUAAUAAGUUAGUUUGUGCUCGAUUUGUUUGAUAAAUAAGUGAAUACGAGUCGGUCCGAAUUCACUUACGCUCAAGUUAGUAGACAGCUGGUCCUAUAUUAGUUAGGAACUAAAGUGAAAGAGUUGGUAGAUAUUGGGCGUCAUAUUUUAGUUUUCAAAUUUUAAUUUAUUAUAAUUUUUAGCUUAAAUUUUUUAAAUUAUUGUAACUAAAUAUAAUUUUAUUGAUUGAAUAUUUUCGUGUAUAUGCUAUCAUAUUAGCAAUACAUAAU
rnacentral:lncRNA from 1 species